rnacentral:rRNA from 1 species
GUUUACGGCCAUACGACGUUGAAAGCACCAGUUCUCGUCCGAUCACUGAAGUUAAGCAAUGUUGGGCUCGGUUAGUACUUGGAUGGGUGAUCACCUAGGAACAACGAGUGCUGUAGACG